CUCUUCUUGAUUAAAUAGGAAGUAGGAUCUGCUCCAUGCGUUAGGUAAAUUGCCGCAGUAUCCUGACUGUGCUAAGGUAGCAAAAUAAUUUGGCUCUUUAUUGGGGUCUGGAAUGAAUGAUUUGACAAAGUCUAAACUGUCUCAUUUAUUAUAUUAGAAAUUGGAUUGUUUGUAAAAAUACAAACAUUUUGGAGAGGGACGAAAAGACCCUAUAGAUCUUUUACUUUUUUAUUAAGUAUUCCUUUAAGUUCUUAAUAGAUUAAGUUUACUUGGGAUAAGGCUGAAAAUGAAUUUUGGUUUAAGAAAAAGAUAGAUUAGUUGAAAAAAUGAUAAAGAAUAAGAUAAGUUACCUUAGGGAUAACAGGAUAAUUUCUUUACUAAGAACUUAUUAGUAAAGGAGUUUAUCACCUCGAUGUUGAAUUAAGUUUACUUUUAUUCGAAGAAGAAUUAGGAGUUAGUCUGUUCGACUAUUAAAAACUU
rnacentral:rRNA from 1 species